UUUCUGCCGGAACUUCACAGUGUGACACCCGGCGGAUGUAAACAGAGAAGCAUGAGCAGAGUUAGCUUCACUGCUGUGUGGACUGAGCUCUAAAACGGCUGUAUUAUAGUAUGAAGGAGAAAUAUCAGAGCGAGAAAGUAACGAUGUGUUCAGUUGAGUAUCUGAGAGAGUUGAUCAGCGACAGACUAGCUGCUGCUGCUGGAGAAAUAUUCACAGAGUUUGAAAAAAACAUCGUCCAGUACCAGGAGGAGAUCGAUCGUCAGCGCAGACUGCUGGAUGUCAUCUGGAAACCACACAUCCCCUUACAACCCAUAGAGCUCCCACAGUCGUAUGUCUGUGAGAAUGAGAAGACUGUUGUUGACCAUCAGCCCCAUGACCAGGAGAGAAAGUCCAUGGUGGACCAUGAGGACCCAGAGCCUCUACAGAUUAAAGAUCAGCAGGAGGAACUCUGCACCAGUCUGGACCAAUCAAACCCAGAGUUUUCUCAAAUUAAAAUGGAACAGGAAGAAUCGUGCACCAGUCUGGACCAAUCAAACCCAGGGUUACCACAAAUUAAAGUGGAACAGGAUGAACUCUGCUCCAGUCGGGAGGAAGAGUUAAUUGGAUUGAAACAGGAGACUGAUACCUUUGUGGUGACUCCUGCUGAUGAGGAAAGUGACCACAGUGAACCAAAUCCAAACAGUGACCAGCUCCUGUUUCACAUCUCUUGUGUAGCUGAGAGCCCAGAUCAGGAAGGAAGCAAGGAUGUAGACUCAGGAUCAACUAGAUGUAUCGAGCAGAAACCAAGACAUCAGAGUAACAGCAGUCACAGUAAUGAUGUAGACAAUGCUCCAACGUCAGAGAGACAUUGUGAUAAUGACAAGGCAAGAAAAUCUCUACCAUGUGAUGUCUGUGGCAAAGCUUUUAGGCAUAAGUCAAAUUUAUUCAUUCAUCGCAGAACCCACACAGGUGAGAAGCCGUAUUCUUGUGAAACCUGUGGGAAAAGCUUCAGUCAAAGGACCAAUUUGACAGCCCACAUGAGAUGUCACACAGGUGAGAAGCCAUAUGUUUGUAACACUUGUGGAAAAAGAUUUUCUGAUUCAUCAACACAUAGAAGGCACACGGCAAUUCACAAAAAGAGAAAGCCAUAUUCUUGUGGCACCUGUGGAAAAAGCUUCAUUCAACGGACCUCUUUGACUGCUCACAUGAGAAUCCACACAGGUGAGAAGCCAUAUUGUUGUGGAACCUGUGGAAAAAGCUUCAACCGUAGUCAUCGAUUAAAAGCCCACAUGAGAAUCCACACAGCUGAGAAGUCGUGAUCCUGAAACAUUUGUGGAAAACAUGUCAGAACUAAGCUUGAAACAACAUGGAAGAAUUGGUAGAUGUUUUAGUUUUAAAGCACCUUUAGCCUGUGCUUCAACAACAAUUGUGAGGAAGUAUGUCAGCAAUCCUUGAUGAUCAGACCAGAUGGAGUCUGGACUGUGGUGGUGGUGGAGCAGGCAGAAGAACCAAACUGAAUGUCUGGAUGGAUAUGGUAUUGGUACAGACUGCUACAUUUCUGCUAUCAUGACAUCCUUCAUCAGCAGAGCAGUGAUUGGAGAUAUUGUGAAGCUGUUUGGAACAUUUUCACAUCCUGCUGAGAGAACAUGGCUGUUCAGGUGUGAACAUACUGCUGGAAUCCACUCAGCUUGAGCUCUGCCAUCUUUCAAGUAAAAGGAGGCAACGAGAUACUGAGACAUUGUGACAGUAGGACACAACAGAGUGUGUCACUGCAGCAGAGGAGAUCUGGACAUGAAAUAAAGUUGUAAUAAAACGUCUACAUCUCCAUGACUGCUUCAUGAAAUGUUUUGUAUGUUUUCAAACAGAUGAACAUUUACAAGUUGUGUAGUAAUGAAUGUAACAUUGAAGAACCUCAGCAAGACAUAACCAACAUUAUGUUUUUAACCAACACACAAGUGGUUUUACUAGUCGUAGCUGAUACACUCCUGCAAAUGUCAAAACCAGAAAUGUUAAAAACAGGUGAAGCUGUGCUGCAGUUUCUGCUGGUUAGAUAAAGGCCUUAUGCUAUUUAUUUCUUCUAUUGUCACCACAUGGGGGUGGCAUGGAUCAGUGGGUAGAGUGGCCGUCUUGUAACUGGAAGGUUGCCGGUUCGAUCCUCGGCCCAUUGCUCAUGUCAAGGUGUCCCUGAGCAAGACACCAAACCCCUAAUUGCUCCUGAUGGGUUUGUGGUUAGCACCUUGCAUGGCAGCUCCCACCAUCAGCGUGUGAAUGGGUAAAUGUGACAUAUCAUCAUGUGAAGCGCUUGUGAUAAAAGCGCUAUAUAAAUACAACCAUUUACAUCUGUGUGAUUUGUUAGUAGGAUCUCAUUGUGUCAUCAUACAGCACAUUUAAAACAACAGCAAAUGAGUCAAAAUAUUUUCCAAUGGAGAAAUAAGUAUGUUAAGAACUGACCUAACAAUUUUAAAUAAUGAGUCCACAGUAUUAUUAAAUAUGUACAAAUGUCUGACUUAUUCAAAUAUUAAAUUAAAGCUGCUAUAAUAUGUUAUAAAUAUGAAAUGAAAUGUCAUUGUAUAUGAAAAUGUGCAAUGACAAUAAAGGUUUGAUUGACUGAUUGAAAUAUAUAAAAUAAACUAAAGUGACCAACUUCA